rnacentral:tRNA from 2 species
GCCAGGAUGGUGGAAUUGGUAGACACAAGGGACUUAAAAUCCCUCGGCAGUUAAAAUGCCGUGCCGGUUCGAUUCCGGUUCCUGGCA